AAAAAAAUCAUUUAAUCUAUUCUUCUCUCAUCUCUCGCGAGAAAACCUAGAAACCUCCGCCGAUUCUUCCUUCCCGACUUUACCUCUCCAUUUCGUCUGUGUAGAUUCGAUCCCAUCUCUCCUCUAGUACUCAAACUAGGCAUGGGCAAAAAACCCGAAAUCCGAAAACCGAUCCGAAACCGAUCCGAAAAAUCCGGAACCGAAUCCGAACCGAAUAGUCACAAAAUCCGAACGGAUAAUGAAUUCUCCUAUCCAAAUUACCCGAACCGAACCCGAUCCGAACCGAAAACCGAAAGGAUAUCCGAAAACCGGAAAUAAAAAUUAUAUAUCCAAAAAUAUUAGUUAUAUUUAGUUGUAAUUUUAUAGCAAAUAACAAAAAUAUCCUAAAUAUCCUAGAUUUCGGAAAAAUUUUAGUUAUAUUUGUUAAAAUUAUACAUAUUUUUGCAAAAUUUAACCAAAUUUUAGUAAGAUUAAACCAAUUUUUAUUAACAUUGAACUAUUUUUAAGUUUUUUUUUCCCAAAAACCGAUCCGAAUCCGACACCUAUCCGAACCGAAACCGAACCGAUGACUCAUAAAAUCCGAACGGAUAAUAAAUUCUCCUACCCAAAUUAUCCGAAUCCGAAUAUAUCCGAACCGAAACUGAACCGAAAAAUCAUAAAAUCCGAACGGAUAAUAAACUCUCAUACCCGAAUUAUCCGAAUCCGAAUAUAUCCGAUCCGAAUCCGAUUUGAAAUCCGAAUGCCCAGGCCUAACUCAAACCAUCCCUUCUUCUUCAACACUUCCCGAACCAGAAACCGACGAUGUCUUUGCAUAUCCUGAUCCUGCCUUUGCUCCCUCCGCUUCUCCUCCGGCUUCUUCUCUUCGAUC
rnacentral:lncRNA from 1 species